GUCGACGGGUAGCCGGCCUGAGAGGGUGACCGGCCACACUGGGACUGAGACACGGCCCAGACUCCUACGGGAGGCAGCAGUGGGGAAUAUUGCACAAUGGGCGCAAGCCUGAUGCAGCAACGCCGCGUGAGGGAUGACGGCCUUCGGGUUGUAAACCUCUUUUAGCAGGGAAGAAGCGAGAGUGACGGUACCUGCAGAAAAAGCGCCGGCUAACUACGUGCCAGCAGCCGCGGUAAUACGUAGGGCGCAAGCGUUAUCCGGAAUUAUUGGGCGUAAAGAGCUCGUAGGCGGUUUGUCGCGUCUGCUGUGAAAUCCCGAGGCUCAACCUCGGGCCUGCAGUGGGUACGGGCAGACUAGAGUGCGGUAGGGGAGAUUGGAAUUCCUGGUGUAGCGGUGGAAUGCGCAGAUAUCAGGAGGAACACCGAUGGCGAAGGCAGAUCUCUGGGCCGUAACUGACGCUGAGGAGCGAAAGGGUGGGGAGCAAACAGGCUUAGAUACCCUGGUAGUCCACCCCGUAAACGUUGGGAACUAGUUGUGGGGUCCUUUCCACGGAUUCCGUGACGCAGCUAACGCAUUAAGUUCCCCGCCUGGGGAGUACGGA
rnacentral:rRNA from 1 species